UACGGAGGGGGCUAGCGUUGUUCGGAAUUACUGGGCGUAAAGCGCACGUAGGCGGCUUUGCAAGUUAGAGGUGAAAGCCCGGGGCUCAACUCCGGAACUGCAUUCAAUACUGCCUUGCUAGAGUACUGGAGAGGAGAUUGGAAUUUACGGUGUAGCAGUGAAAUGCGUAGAUAUCGUAAGGAAGACCAGUGGCGAAGGCGGAUCUCUGGACAGCUACUGACACUGAGGCACGAAGGCCAGGGGAGCAAACGGG
rnacentral:rRNA from 1 species